UGGGCUAAUGAUGAGGGUAGUUCUGAACCAAGGAUUAAAAUUAAUCCAAAUCUGUGUUCCUAAGGUCAAAU
rnacentral:snoRNA from 1 species